CUUCGCUUUCAACUUUGGCAUCUUCUGCAUUUUAUGUGUCUUAGGCAGCUUUGGCAACAAGCCAAACCUCUUCUGACUCUCAUCCUUAGGUAGACUAUCACUUGCUGCUGAGACAAGCGAUUUGGCAUUUCCAGAUAAUGAGAUCGCCUUACUUGGAUGUCCGGAGAGAAGCAGGACAGAGGAGAGGAGGAAAGCUGGGGCAGCAAGGAAUUCAUUGGGGGGAGCAGUGCUUAUCUCCUUUACCAGAGACCAGGCUAUGACUUUAGGGACCUCUGCACUGCACUGUUCCACUGCCUGGUGCAAUUUGAUCGCAGAACCCUUUUCCUGCAGCAGGUCCUUGUACACUGCUUCAACUACCUCAUCAGGAGGUGCCCGACUAGGGGUAGAUGAUUCCUCAUCAACGGACAUUCCGUUGACCUCUGCCAACAGUGUCAACACAGAUCCACUGACAGACAGGGCUUUCUCAAUCAGCUCUGGCUCUGACUGAGGAGGAGCUCCAUCGGCAUUCUUCCGGAUCUUCAAGAGGAGUGCACAUACCAAGCUAUGCACAGACCCACUGGAAAAAAAAACCACGGGUGUAGAUGGAGUUCCUGUAGCUGUGGACUGAGUUUCUGUUGUAUUACAUAGACUUGGGGUGGCGCUGCCACAGACUUGGGGUAGGACUUCUUGGGGACCAGAUGAAUUAGCUUUGUUAGACAAAGUAGAAGUGAAACUCUGUUCGGCAUUGUUUUGCUUUUUCUUCUUCUGCAGACAAAAGCUAGGGAAAUAGGAUCUCUCUUGCCUGUUAUUGGUUUGCUUUCCUUGAGCAAUAGUGUUAAGAGAUGACUCAGCCAUUUUUUCUACGCUAAUCACUCUAGCCACAGACAAAGCAAUGGCUUUGGGGACUUCUGUACUGCACUCAUCUACUGCAAGGUGCAAUUGCUCAACUGAUUGGCACAAUUUUAUGGCAGAACCCUUUUCUUGGAGCAGGUCCUGGUACACGUCGUCAAAAAACAUAGCUUUGUCAGAUAAAGUAGAAAUGGAACUCACUAUGUCUUUCUUUUGCUCCUUCUGUGGACAACAACUAGGGAAAUAGAAUCUCUCUCCCCUGUUUUUGGUUGUCUUUCCUUGAGCCUUAGUGAUGGUGAGAGAUGGCUCAGGCAUUUUGUCAGUGCUGAUUGCCUGAACCACAGACAAAGCAAUGGCUUUCGGGACCUCUGCACUGAACUCCUCUCCUGCCUGGUGCAAUUCCAAAACUGAUUCAACCGAAUUCUCUUUGACUUUUGAGAGAAGGGCAUUCAUUACACUAUGCACAGACCCAUUGGAGAGCAAUUCCACUGGGGAUAGGGUUCUUGCCUCCAUGGAUAGACUUGAAUUGGCCUGAAAUUCUUGUAUAUCUUCCUGAGAAGUAGUUUUGUCUGAAUCCAGACUUUUAGCCAAACUUACACGGGACAUUGUCUUUGGUUUCUUUUGACUAAGACCCAAGUAAUGGGGGAUUCUCUCUGAACUGCACUCCUCUACUGCAAGGUGCAAUUGCUCAACUGAUUGGCACAAUUUUAUGCCAGAUCCCUUUUUUUGGAGCAGGUCCUGGUACACAUUGUCAACAAACAUAGCUUUGUCAGACAAAGUAGAAAUGGAACUCCCUUUAUCUUUCUUUUGCUCCUUCUGUAGACAACAACUAGGGAAAUAGGAUCUCUCUCGCCUGUUUUUGGUUGUCUUUCCUUGAGCCUUAGUGAUGGUGAGAGAUGGCUCAGGCAUUUUGUCAGUGCUUAUUGCCGGAAACACAGACAAAUCAAUGGCUCUGGGAACCUCUGCACUGAACUCGCCUGCUGCCUGGUGCAAUUCCAACACUGAUUCAACCGAAUUCUCUUCGACUUUCAAGAGACAGGCAUUCAUUAUACUAUGCACAGACCCAUUGCUGAUGAAUUCCACUGGGGAUGAGGUUCUUGCCACCGUGCAUUGACUUAAAGUGGCCUGAAACUCGUGUACAUCUUCCUGAGAAUAAUUAUUUUCUGAAGCCAGACUUUUAGUCAGACUUACACGGGACAUUGUCUCUGGUUUCUUUUUACUAAGACCCAAUAAAUGGGGUAAUCUCUCUGCACUGCACUCCUCUACCGCAAGGUGCAAUUGCUCAACUGAUUGGCACAAUUUUAUGGCAGAUCCCUUUUCUUGGAGCAGGUCCUGGUACACAUUGUCAACAAACAUAGCUUUGUCAGACAAAGUAGAAAUGGAACUCCCUUUAUCUUUCUUUUGCUCCUUCUGUAGACAACAACUAGGGGAAUAGGAUCUCUCUCGCCUGUUUUUGGUUGUCUUUCCUUGAGCCUUAGUGAUGGUGAGAGAUGGCUCAGGCAUUUUGUCAGUGCUGAUUGCCGGAACCAUAGACAAAUCAAUGGCUCUGGGAACCUCUGCACUGAACUCGCCUGCUGCCUGGUGCAAUUCCAACACUGAUUCAACCGAAUUCUCUUCGACUUUCAAGAGACAGGCAUUCAUUAUACUAUGCACAGACCCAUUGCUGGUCAAUUCCACUGGGGAUGAGGUUCUUGCCACCGUGCAUUGACUUAAAGUGGCCUGAAACUCUUGUACAUCUUCCUGAGAAUAAUUCUUUUCUGAAGCCAGACUUUUAGUCAGACUUACACGGGACAUUGUCUCUGGUUUCUUUUUACUAAGACCCAAUAAAUGGGGUAAUCUCUCUGCACUGCACUCCUCUACCGCAAGGUGCAAUUGCUCAACUGAUUGGCACAAUUUUAUGGCAGAUCCCUUUUC
rnacentral:lncRNA from 1 species